rnacentral:rRNA from 1 species
GAUCAACGCUGGCGGCGUGCUUAACACAUGCAAGUCGAACGAAGUUUUUCCUUCGGGAGACACUUAGUGGCGGACGGGUGAGUAACGCGUGGGUAACCUGCCCUGUGCAGGGGGACAACAGCUGGAAACGGCUGCUAAUACCGCAUAAGCCCUUAGCACUGCAUGGUGCAUAGGGAAAAGGAGCAAUCCGGUACAGGAUGGACCCGCGUCUGAUUAGCCAGUUGGCAGGGUAACGGCCUACCAAAGCGACGAUCAGUAGCCGAUCUGAGAGGAUGUACGGCCACAUUGGGACUGAGACACGGCCCAGACUCCUACGGGAGGCAGCAGUGGGGAAUAUUGCACAAUGGAGGAAACUCUGAUGCAGCGACGCCGCGUGAGUGAAGAAGUAUUUCGGUAUGUAAAGCUCUAUCAGCAGGGAAGAAAAUGACGGUACCUGACGAAGAAGCACCGGCUAAAUACGUG